AUUGAACGCUGGCGGCAGGCCUAACACAUGCAAGUCGAGCGGAUGAGUGGAGCUUGCUCCAUGAUUCAGCGGCGGACGGGUGAGUAAUGCCUAGGAAUCUGCCUGGUAGUGGGGGACAACGUAUCGAAAGGAACGCUAAUACCGCAUACGUCCUACGGGAGAAAGUGGGGGAUCUUCGGACCUCACGCUAUAAGAUGAGCCUAGGUCGGAUUAGCUAGUUGGGGAGGUAAAGGCUCACCAAGGCGACGAUCCGUAACUGGUCGAAGAGGAUGAUCAGUCACACUGGAAGUGAGACAAAGUCCAGACUUCAACUGGAGGAAGCAGUGGGGAAUAUUGUACAAUGGGCUAAAGCCUGAUACAGCCAUGCCGCGUGUUUGAAGAAGGUCUUCGGAAUGUAAAGCACUUUACGUUGGGAGGAAGGACAGUAAGUUAAUACCUUGCUGUUUUGACGUUACCAACAGAAUAAGCACCGGCUAACUUCGUGCCAGCCGCCGCGGUAAUAC
rnacentral:rRNA from 1 species